rnacentral:rRNA from 1 species
AGUCGCAAGACCAAAGAGGGGGACCUUCGGGCCUCUUGCCAUCGGAUGUGCCCAGAUGGGAUUAGCUAGUAGGUGGGGUAAAGGCUCACCUAGGCGACGAUCCCUAGCUGGUCUGAGAGGAUGACCAGCCACACUGGAACUGAGACACGGUCCAGACUCCUACGGGAGGCAGCAUG